rfam:HIV-1 isolate IS98003 from Israel gag protein (gag) gene, partial cds.
GGCCAGGGGGAAAGAAAUGCUACAUGAUGAAACACCUAAAAUGGGCAAGCAGGGAGCUGGAAAGAUUUUCACUUAACCCUGACC